ACGAACGACGUAACUAAUUUUGACAUUGACAUUUCAACGCUGACACUGACAUUUCGCAAAAAAAAAAAAACAAAAACAGCGAAAGUCUUGGUGGUGGAAGCGUAAAUUUCUCUGCGACACACAAAAUCGACGGUUCUUAUUCCGUGCCAUGAGAUGGCAAUGGCGAAUACGGUCAAAACGAACUGUCUGAAAAGUCCGUGGGCCAACCGGUCGAAUAGAAGGAGAAUUAGCCAGCUGCUGCUUCCGGCCCGGAUGAGAAGAAACCGGUCGCCACCGAGAAGAUGUCAGCUAAAAAGCGUUCGGCUGCUGUGGGAGUCUAGAAGGCUCCGGCCACUGCCCCAAAUACCGAACCGGCCAAAAAGGGACCGACUACUGCUGCUACCGGAAACGGUGCUGUUGGCAAAGAGGCUCCGACGGUGGCUUUAGGUAAAAUAGGCUGCUAAUGCCACCGCCAAGGUUAAGAUGCCUACAAUAUCAUCAAGUACCCACUGACGACGGAAGCUGCGAUGAAUAAAAUCAAGAACAACAA